GGAGCAGAAUCCUAAUGGUAAGGCGUUGCUUUCCGGUAUAAAUAUGGAGAUUGGCAAAGAUUGCGGGUUCGAGUCCCGUCUGGGUCG